UUCCGGUUGAUCCUGCCGGCGGCCACCGCUAUAGGAAUUCGAUUAAGACAUGCGAGUCGAGAGUCUUCGGGACUCGGCGGACUGCUCAGUAACACGUGGAGAACGUGCCCUUAAGUGGAGGAUAAUCUCGGGAAAUUGAGGAUAAUACUCCAUAGAUCAUGGGAUCUGGAAUGACCCAUGGUUGAAAGUUCCGGCGCUUAAGGAUCGCUCUGCGGCUUAUCAGGUUGUAGUGGGUGUAACGUACCCCCUAGCCAGUGACGAGUAUGGGCCUUGAGAGAGGGAGCCCAGAGUUGGAUUCUGAGACACGAAUCCAGGCCCUACGGGGCGCAGCAGUCGCGAAAACUUCACACUGGGGGCAACCCCGAUGAGGGAAUUCCUAGUGCUAGGACAUUUGUUCUAGCUUUUCUCUAGCGUAGAUAACUAGAGGAAUAAGGGCUGGGUAAGACGGGUGCCAGCCGCCGCGGUAAUACCCGCAGCCCAAGUGGUGGUCGAUUUUAUUGAGUCUAAAACGUUCGUAGCCGGUUCAUUAAAUCCUUGGGUAAAUCGGGAAGCUUAACUUUCCGACUUCCGAGGAGACUGGUGAACUUGGGACCGGGAGAGGCAAGAGGUACUUCUGGGGUAGGGGUAAAAUCCUGUAAUCCUAGAAGGACCACCGGUGGCGAAGGCGUCUUGCUAGAACGGAUCCGACGGUGAGGGACGAAGCCCUGGGUCGCAAACGGGAUUAGAUACCCCGGUAGUCCAGGGUGUAAACGCUGCAGACUUGGUGUUGGGGACCCUUCGGGGGUGUUCAGUGCCGGAGAGAAGUUGUUAAGUCUGCUACUUGGGGAGUACGUCCGCAAGACUGAAACUUAAAGGAAUUGGCGGG
rnacentral:rRNA from 1 species